AGAUACCCGUGUAGUCCCAGCCGUAAACUAUGCUCGCUAGGUGUCAGGCAUGGCGCGACCGUGUCUGGUGCCGCAGGGAAGCCGUGAAGCGAGCCACCUGGGAAGUACGGCCGCAAGGCUGAAACUUGAAGGAAUUGGCGGGGGAGCACAACAACGGGUGGAGCCUGCGGUUUAAUUGGACUCAACGCCGGACAACUCACCGGGGACGACAGCAAUAUGUAGGCCAGGCUGAAGACCUUGCCUGAAUCGCUG
rnacentral:rRNA from 1 species